rnacentral:rRNA from 1 species
UACAGAGGGUGCGAGCGUUAAUCGGAUUUACUGGGCGUAAAGCGUGUGUAGGCGGUUGAUUAAGUCGGAUGUGAAAGCCCUGGGCUCAACCUGGGAACUGCAUUCGAUACUGAUGAGCUAGAGUACGGUAGAGGGUGGCGGAAUUCCGGGUGUAGCGGUGAAAUGCGUAGAUAUCCGGAGGAACACCGAUGGCGAAGGCAACCACCUGGGCCUGUACUGACGCUGAGACACGAAAGCGUGGGGAGCAAACAGG